ACACUCAUAUUUUUUCGGUCAUCGCGCGAUAUAUUCUGUCACUAAUUUUCAGUUGUAGUUAUUUGAAUUAUUUUUACAAUUUAUUGGAAUUCAGAACAAUUUUGGUUGUAAAUACUACUUGAUUUUCUAUGUUGAAGCAGUUGUUGUCGUCCCGUAUCUACUGUUCUCGUAAUUUCGUUGCUACACACAGCAUAUUGGAAGUAAAUUUGAUUGAUGAACUUGUUGAACGAACUGCAGAUUGAUCGAUCGAAAUGGCGCGCCGAAAAUCAGUACCCGAACCCGCUCGUCUGAAGAAACGGAGGCAAAACGAUGUCAAACUGGAUAAGAAGAUUUUAUUAUUACAAAAUUCCGAUAUUCCCAUGAUUCCAAAAACUACCGUUCAGCCGAUUGGUGAGAGAAACCAUGCAACAAUAUAAGGAAGAUUUUCGGAUUACUGUUACGGCAUUGGAGUGCGCUUCAGGAAGCCUGCGAACUUUACUUAACAUAUUUAUUCAACGAUGCAUACUUACUGACCUAUCACCGACGACGAGUGACUUUGGAUCGUUCCGAUAUUCGAAUGGUGCUG